rnacentral:rRNA from 1 species
AGAUUUCGCAAUGGCCGAAAGGCUGACGCAGCGACGCCGUGCGCGGGCGGGCGCUCGUCGGGGUGUAAACCGCUGUCAGGGUGGAAGAAUGUCCCGGGGAGGACGUGCCGCGGGGUUGACGGUACAUACAGAGGAAGCACGGGCUAACUCCGUGCCAGCCGCCGCGGUAAUCCGGGGGGUGCGAGCGUUGUUCGGAAUCUUUGGGCGUAAAGCGCGGCUAGGCGGGUCGGUAAGUCUCUUGGGAAAGCCCGGGGCUCAACCCCGGGAGGCCAGGGGCUAAUGUCGGGCUGUAGACAGGCAGAGGCUGGUGGAAUUCCGUGUGUAGCGGUGGAAUGCGUAGGGAUCCGGAGGAACAUCGGUGGCGAAGGCGGCCGGCUGGGCCUGUUCUGACGCUGAGGCGCGAAAGCGUGGGGAGCGAAC